UACGGAGGAUGCAAGCGUUAUCCGGAAUGAUUGGGCGUAAAGGGUCCGCAGGUGGCAAUGUGUGUCUGCUGUCAAAGAAUGAGGCUUAACCUCAUCAAGGCAGUGGAAACUACAUAGCUAGAGUACGGAAGAGGCGAGUGGAAUUCCUGGUGUAGCGGUGGAAUGCGCAGAUAUCAGGAGGAACACCAAUAGCGAAGGCAGCUCGCUGGGACGUUACUGACACUGAGGCGCGAAAGCGUGGGGAGCGAACAGG
rnacentral:rRNA from 1 species